ensembl:lncRNA
AUGUCCUCUCCCACCCCGUAUGUCCCGUCACACCCCCGGCUGUCCCCUCACACACCCCGGAUAUCCUCACACAGGCUGUCCCCUCACACCCCGGAUGUCCCCUCACACCCCCAGCUGUCCCCUCACACACCCCGGAUAGCCUCACACCGGCUGUCUCCUCACACCGGCUGUCCCUUCACACCACGGAUGUCCCCUCACACCCCGGAUGUCCCCUCACACCCCCAGCUGUCCCCUCACACACCCCGGAUAUCCUCACACCGGCUGUCCCCUCACACCCCGGAUGUCCCCUCACACCCCCAGCUGUCCCCUCACACACCCCGGAUAUCCUCACACCGGCUGUCCCCUCACAACCGGAUGUCCCCUCACACCUACUGUCCCCUGACACCCCCGGAUGUCCCCUCACACUGGCUGUUUCCUCACAUUUGCUGUCCCCUCACACACCCCGGAUGUCCCCUCACACCGGCUGUCCCCUCACACCUGCUGUCCCCUGACACCCCCGGAUGUCCCCUCACACCGGCUGUCCCCUCACACCUGCUGUCCCCUGACACCCCCGGAUGUCCCCUCACACCCCCGGAUGUCCCCUCACAUCCUGGAUGUCCCCUCACACACCCCCGGAUGUCCCCUCACAACCGGAUGUCCCCUCAAACCUGCUGUCCCCUGACACCCCCGGAUGUCCCCUCACACCGGCUGUCCCCUCAUACCCGGAAUGUCCUCUCACACCGGCUGUCCCCUAACACCGGCUGUCCCCUCAUACCCCCGGAUGUCCCCUCACACCGGCUGUCCAUUUCCACCGGCUGUCCCCUCACACCCGGAAGUCCCCGCACACCCGGAUGUCCCCUCACACCCAGAUGUCCCGUCACACCCCGAAUGUCCCCUCACAGCCCCAGGUGUACCUUCACACACCCCCGGAUGUCCCCUCACACCCGGAUGUCCCCGCACACCCGGAUGUCCCCUCAUACCCCGGAUGUCCCCGCACACCUCGAAUGUCCCCUCACACCCGGAUGUCCCCUCAUACCCCGGAUGUCCCCUCACACCCGGAUGUCCCCGCACACCUCGGAUGUCCCCUCACACCCGGAUGUCCCCUCACACACCCCAGAUGUCCUCUCACACACCCCAGAUGUCCCCUCACACCCCGGAUGUCCCCUCACACACCCCCGGAUGUCCCCUCAUACCCCCGGAUGUCCCCUCACACCCCGGAUGUCCCCUCACACACCCCAGAUGUCCUCUCACACACCCCGGAUGUCCCCUCACACCCCGGAUGUCCCCUCACAUCCCGGAUGUCCCCUCACACACCCCCGGAUGUCCCCUCACACCCAAGAUGUCCCCUCACAUGCUGGAUGUCCCCUCACACACCCCUGGAUGUCCCCUCACACCCCAGAUGUCCCCUCACAUCCUGGAUGUCCCCUCACACACCCCCGGAUGUCCCCUCACACACCCCCGGAUGUCCCCUCACACCCAAGAUGUCCCCUCACAUGCUGGAUGUCCCCUCACACACCCCUGGAUGUCCCCUCACACCCCAGAUGUCCCCUCACAUCCUGGAUGUCCCCUCACACACCCCCGGAUGUCCCCUCACACACCCCCGGAUGUCCCCUCACACCCCCAGAUGUCCCUGAGGCGGUCUGGGCUUCGGGUUCGAUCCCUGGGUCAGGAAGAUCCCACGGAGGAGGAAAUGGCAACCCACUCCAGCAUUCUUGCCUGGAAAAUCCCAUGGCCAGAGGAGCCUAG